UCUGGUGAUGAUGGCGAAGAGGUCACACCCGUUCCCAUGCCGAACACGGAAGUUAAGCUCUUUAGCGCCGAUGGUAGUCGGGGGUUUCCCCCUGUGAGAGUAGGACAUCGCCAGGC
rnacentral:rRNA from 1 species